rnacentral:rRNA from 1 species
GUCGAGCGGAUGAAGAGAGCUUGCUCUCUGAUUCAGCGGCGGACGGGUGAGUAAUGCCUAGGAAUCUGCCUGGUAGUGGGGGACAACGUUUCGAAAGGAACGCUAAUACCGCAUACGUCCUACGGGAGAAAGCAGGGGACCUUCGGGCCUUGCGCUAUCAGAUGAGCCUAGGUCGGAUUAGCUAGUUGGUGAGGUAAUGGCUCACCAAGGCGACGAUCCGUAACUGGUCUGAGAGGAUGAUCAGUCACACUGGAACUGAGACACGGUCCAGACUCCUACGGGAGGCAGCAGUGGGGAAUAUUGGACAAUGGGCGAAAGCCUGAUCCAGCCAUGCCGCGUGUGUGAAGAAGGUCUUCGGAUUGUAAAGCACUUUAAGUUGGGAGGAAGGGUUGUAGAUUAAUACUCUGCAAUUUUGACGUUACCGACAGAAUAAGCACCGGCUAACUCUGUGCCAGCAGCCGCGGUAAUACAGAGGGUGCAAGCGUUAAUCGGAAUUACUGGGCGUAAAGCGCGCGUAGGUGGUUUGUUAAGUUGGAUGUGAAAGCCCCGGGCUCAACCUGGGAACUGCAUUCAAAACUGACAAGCUAGAGUAUGGUAGAGGGUGGUGGAAUUUCCUGUGUAGCGGUGAAAUGCGUAGAUAUAGGAAGGAACACCAGUGGCGAAGGCGACCACCUGGACUGAUACUGACACUGAGGUGCGAAAGCGU